rnacentral:rRNA from 1 species
CCUACGGGUGGCAGCAGUGAGGAAUAUUGGUCAAUGGGAGAGAUCCUGAACCAGCCAAGCCGCGUGAGGGAAGACGGCCCUAUGGGUUGUAAACCUCUUUUGUCGGGGAACAAAACCCGGGACGUGUCCCGGGCUGCGUGUAUCCGAACAAAAAGCAUAGGCUAACUCCGUGCCAGCAGCCGCGGUAAUACGGAGGAGGCGAGCGUUAUCGGGAUUUAUUGGGUUUAAAGGGUGCGUGGACGGAUGCCUAAGUAAGUGGUAAAAUGGCGGGGCCAAACCCCGUAGAGCCGUUGAAACUGGGUGCCUUGAGUGGGCGAGAAGGACGCGGAAUGCGUGGUGUAGCGGUGAAAUGCGUAGAUAUUGGGAGGAACACCAGUGGCGAAGGCGGCUUACUGGACUGUAACUGACGUUGAGGCUCGAAAGCGUGGGGAGCAAACAGGAUUAGAUACCCCAGUAGUC